AAAUGCAUCUUACGCCAUCACACACACACACACACACACAUCUGAUACUCGACAGCAGCAGACUAACGCAGGCCGAUGAAGAUGAUGGGGAGAGUCACCUGGUGCUGUGUAGCUCUGCUCCUUGCCCUGACUUCUGUGUUGGCUGUACAGAAAGAGCUCGAUUCAAUCAAUGAUUUGAAGAAAAUCAACUUCGGCCAAUCUGUGCCAAAGCACAGUCUUCUGCUGCUCCACUGGUUUGCCAACACAGUUAACAUUGAAGAUAACGACGUAUUAAGCCUGACCUUUGACCCAAACACUAGAGCUUAUGGCUCACAUCAUUAUGGCAACUUUGAGCGGCUGCUUGACCCACUUCCUUGGAGAAAUCAAUACAGGUACUACACUAUCGGCAGUCUCAAUCAAGACCAAUCCUUGCAACUUCCACCUUAUGUUGUCCGUCCUUCAAGUCAGUAUGCGGGACAAAACAUGGACAGGAUCAUAGUUCGUGUCAGGGAGCAAAACACUGGACAACAAGUUUUGCGGAGGAUAGACCAAGUGUAUAUCACACAGCAUAUUCCAAAUCAUGCUGAAUAUGAUCCAGCUCAUACCUACAGGAUCACCAUCAACCUCCUGAGACAGAUCAGAGAGUUCUCUGUGGGAGAAAACGCACAGCAACUGUCGUAUCUCAGAAACCGAUUUCGAAGCAGCGCUGAUGAUGUACAAAUCAGAAACACAUGGGGUCAACUUGCUUGCCUUGGACUGCUGUUGUAUAUUGUGAUCCAGGAAAAGCACUCCUUUACCCCGCAUUACAACUACAAUCGAGUAAACCAAAACAGACCAGUAAUCCACUACAGACCAGUAGUUGACUAUAGACCAGAAAUCAACUACACACCACAAUACACACCACAAAACACUUACAGACACAAUAGCACAAACAGUGAUGGGGCUGACCAUUUGGUGAAAUGCAUUCUUUUUGUUUUAUUUAUCUUUUUUUUUAAUUAUUUUGGCAUUUUCUAGUACAUUCAAAAGUAGGUGAGGUAUAGACUUAACAAACAAUUGUGUUCUCGGGUAACAAAAAAAAUAAACGGAAAUCAGGAAUUCUCAAUACAUACAUAAAAGAAAAAAAGGGCAAAUUUGAACUCUAAGAAUCAAAGACAAAGAAUAAAUAAGGAUAUAGGAUUACAGCGUAACAGGUAUGGAUGAUAAUACAAGCAAGUAAACCUCUGAAAAGUCCAGUGCCAGUGGUCCUGGUAUCAUAUGUAACUAGACAAAAACCUAAGGAAUGCAUUGGACAAUGUCUUGCAAGCUUGUCGCGAAGGCAUCAAAAUAAUGUUUCAAAGUUUGGCUUCAUUGUGUGUAUGUGUCGGAACACCCCCAGUCCACCACACCUACAAAUAAAAGUUAAAAAUUAUAAUGAUAGAAACUGGAUGUAGUCCAAAAUUGUAAAUGAUAAUGCACUGCUCUGGCGUGUUUGUAAAGCUCAAGGCUGCUUUCACUGGACAAGGUCCUGUUCCAGCAUGUAUAACCUAAUAGAAAUGAGUCACUGGUGGAUAAUCCUGUGUUUGAUAGACAUAAUGAGCCUUUAGAUUGUUCUGAUUGUUUGUUUCAUUUAUGUAUGAGGAAGUAAUAAGUUAACAAAAUGGUGUUGUUUUAUUAAACUAAAAUGUAUCAGAAAGA